AACGUAGGAGACAAACGUUAUCCGGAGUUACUGGGCGUAAAGGGCGUGCAGGCGGCCUGAUAAGUCUGGCGUGAAAUUUAACGGCUUAACCGGGAAAUGGCGUCGGAGACUGUCGGGCUAGAGGGUGAUAGAGGCGUGUGGAAUUCCCGGUGUAGCGGUGGAAUGCGUAGAGAUCGGGAAGAACAUCGGUGGCGAAGGCGGCCUGCUGGGCUCUUGCUGACACUGAGGCGCGACAGCGUGGGGAGCAAACAGG
rnacentral:rRNA from 1 species